AGUAGUUGUAACUGAGUGGCGAACGGGUGAGUAACACGUGGGUGACCUGCCUUCGAGUGGGGGAUAACAUCCCGAAAGGGGUGCUAAUACCGCAUGAGAUCCUGCCUUUGAAGAGGUGGAGAUUAAAGCUGGGGAUCGUAAGACCUGGCGCUUGAAGAGGGGCCCGCGUCCGAUUAGCUAGUUGGUGGGGUAACGGCCUACCAAGGCUUCGAUCGGUAGCCGGCCUGAGAGGGCGGACGGCCACACUGGGACUGAGACACGGCCCAGACUCCUACGGGAGGCAGCAGUGGGGAAUUGUUCGCAAUGGGCGAAAGCCGGACGACGCAACGCCGCGUGGAGGAUGAAGAUUUUCGGAUCGUAAACUCCUUUCGAUCGGGACGAACGACUGGUGACCUAACACGUCAUCAGAGUGACGGUACCGAGAGAAGAAGCCCCGGCUAACUCCGUGCCAGCAGCCGCGGUAAUACGGGGGGGGCAAGCGUUGUUCGGAAUUACUGGGCGUAAAGGGCGCGUAGGCGGCCUGCUAAGUCACACGUGAAAUCCCUCGGCUCAACCGGGGAACUGCGUGUGAUACUGGCGGGCUUGAAUUCGGGAGAGGGAUGUGGAAUUCCAGGUGUAGCGGUGAAAUGCGUAGAUAUCUGGAGGAACACCGGUGGCGAAGGCGGCAUCCUGGACCGAGAUUGACGCUGAGGCGCGAAAGCUAGGGUAGCAAACGGGAUAGAUACCCCG
rnacentral:rRNA from 1 species